UGGUCUAAAACCAAAUAAAAUAGAUUGACAGAGUAAACAAAGAAACAAACCAUAACCCAACUAUAUGGUAUCUAUAAGAAACUAUAUAGACAAGUUGAAAGUAAAAGGAUAGAAAAUAUAUAUCAUGCAAACAUUAAUCAGCAGAAAGCUAGAGAGGCUAUAUUAAUAUCAAGUAAACUAAGAAGCCAAGAAAUUUACCAGAAAGAUAGAGGGACAUUUUGAUAAAAUGGUCAAUCCACCAAGAACAUAUAGAAAUCCUAGGUAGGUAUGCAGAAAACAAAAGAGCUGGAAAAACUGAGUCAAAAAUUGACAGAACGCAAGGAAAAAGAGACAAAUCCACAAUUAGAAUUUGAGACUUCUACAUGCCCCUCUGAAAAUUGACAGAGCAACUAGACAGAAAAUUAGGAGUAGAACUUUACAACAUCAGUCAACAGAAUUCUGAUCUACAUUUAUAAAACAUUCCACCCAUUAACAGCAGACUAGUCUUUUCAAGUACCCAAAGAACAUAUACCAAGAUUGACCAUAUCCUGGGGCAUGACAUAAACCUCACAAAUUUAAAAUAAUUGAAAUCAUACAGAAUGUUCUCCAACCACAAUAUAAUUAAGCUAGAAAGAUAACAGGAAAAUCUCCAAACACACUCGGAAACUAAAAAGAUCUUUCUAGAAAAUCCUUGGAUCAAAGACAAAAUCUCAAGAGGGAAGGAGGGCUAAGCUUAUCAAUUUGGCAGGAUACAAGAUAAACAUAUAAAGAUCAAUUCUAUAUAUAUUCAGAAUUAGCAUGUGAAAACCAAAAUAAAAAAUACAAUGUCAUUUAUAGUCACUAAAAACAAACAAACUUAGGUGUCAAUGUAACAAAAUAUGUACAGAACUUGUAUGUUGGGAACUAUAAAAUGCUGAUUUAGCCCUAACCGGUUUGGCUCAGUGGAUAGAGCGUCAGCCUGCAGACUCAAGGGUCCCAGGUUCGAUUCCGGUCAAGGGCAUGUAUCUUGGUUGCGGGCACAUCCGCAGUGGGGAGUGUGCAGGAGGCAGCUGUUCGAUGUUUCUCUCUCAUCAAUGUUUCUAACUCUCUAUCCCUCUCCCUUCCUCUCUGUAAAAAAAUCAAUAAAAUAUAUUUUAAAAAUAAAUAAAUAAAAUGCUGAUUUAAAGAAAUCAAAGAUCUAUAUAGAAGGAACAUAUUGUGUUCAUGAACUGGAAAAUUCAACAUAGUAAAGAUGUCAACUCUUCCCAAAUUGAUACACAGGUUUAACACAAUUUUCUAUCAAAAUUCCAGCAAUAUAUAUAUAUAUAUAUAUAUAUAUAUAUAUAUAUAUAUAUAUAUAUAUAUAUAUAUAUUUAUUUUGCAGGUAAAGAUUACUCUAAAAGCUGCAUGGGAAGACAACAGGACUGGAAUAGCUAAAACAAUUUGGAAAAAGAUGAAUUAGAAAGGAAUCAGACUACUACCUGAUUUUAAAACAUUAUAUAGCUCAGUGAUCAUACUGUGUGGUACUGGCAGAGGGAUAGACCCAUAGAUCGAUAGAACAGGACAGAGAACCCAGGAAUAAAGCCAACAAAAACUUCUGUUGACAAAGGUGCAAAAGUCAUUCAAUGGAAAUGGAGGAAAGACAGCAUUUGCAACAAAUGGUGCUGGAGCAAUUAGACAUCUACAUGAACAGAUAUGUUCCCAAAUGAACUUUAACCUAAGUCUCACACCUUAUACAAAAAUUAAAUCAAAAUGGAGCACAGACUUAAAUGUAAAAUGUUAAACUAUAAUACUUUUAGGAAAAAACAUAGGAGAAAAUCUUUGGGAUCUCGAACUAGACAGAGUUCUUAGACCUGACACCAAAAGCCUAACCCCAAUAUUUAAAUUAGUUUCAGAUUUCAAAAUAUUAAAUGAAAUCCACACCUGUCUAAAAUUAAGUUAGGUUUAAGUCACUUCUAUAAAUAGGUAGAUUCUAGAAGUAUAAGACGCCAUUCUCCAGUGGAGGAUAAGAAAUAAAGAUGUUCAAUAAAUGUUUGCUGAAUGAGGCAAUAAGAUGACAUUCUGGAGAAAAUAACUCAUCUAUAUUCAUUCAAUCAAACAUUUAUUGUGCAUGUGUUAUGUGUCAGGCACUGUGCUCAGUAUCAGAGAAUAUAGUAUAAGUAAACUUAUAUACAGAAUAUAAGUAUACGUAACUUUUCACAAGACGCUCUUUAGUCCCUCUUCUUAAAAGAUUAAAAUUGGAUUUGAGUAUCAAUGCAAGAAAAAAAAAAUACACUCAUUUAACUUUCAGGUUUUUAUUUUUUUUAGACAGCUGGAUGAGGCAUCUACAUUCUAGCACAUCUUUAGUGAAAGAUGACUUACUUAUAUAUAAGGCAAGGGAAAAAAGGUCAUGAUUGUCCAACAGGGAAUCUGAAUCCCCAAAUAAAUUAUCUUACAAAAAUAUCAAACUUGCUUUUCUACUUUUCUACUGUUAAAAAUGAAAAAAAAAAUUCACAUUAAAAAAUUCUGUAGGCUGGUAUAUAGCAAGUUAAGAUAAUCAUUUUACACACUCAGUAUGUCCUUCAAAUAAAUAUUUUACACAAAUUUAAGUUGUCAAAAAUAGGUCAAGUAUUUAUCCUAUAUUUGGUCCGCCAAAAGACCAUUUAUAAACUGACAUUAAACUGGACUGCAGUUCAUACCUUUAAAAUGUUAAUAUGCAUAUCACUGUGGCUGGAUAUGCAUAUGUACAUGUUCCAUACAUGUGACGUGGCUAACACUGCUGUGCAUACUACUUCCACAAGUAGUUUUACCCUGUAAAAGUCCUCUAGCCUAUCAUGAAUCAAACUGUAAGAAAAGAACGAAAGAAAAUACAUUGCCUAUUAUAGACAUUUGCUCAGUAAUUACAAAAACUGAAAAAAUUAUCAUGUUUGGGGGACUUUAAGAAUACUGAAUAUGUGAUAAAAUUCAAUACUGCUUACAAAUGCCUGAUUAUGAAGAACAUAUUCAACACUUAAGUGGAGAACACACAAGUGAAUGUAUAUUACAGACUCAGGCUUCUAUCUGGCCUAGUCCUGUUGUUUUAUACUAAAGUCUUACAUGGCCCUGGUUCAUAAAAGAUGGAGAUUUAAUAAAAUAAUGAUACAUUAAGUUUUUCUGUUCUAAUGGCCAACUUUUAAAAGUACAGUGGAGCCCUGACUGGCUUUCUGUAUCUCCUCAUAUUUUAAAAGCCAAUUUGUUUUAUUCAUUUUAUUGUGAUGUGACAUUUUAAUUAACACUAUACUAAAAAUAAAAAUGCAUUACG